rnacentral:lncRNA from 1 species
AUGUCUGGGCUGCACGCUGGGCAGUCAAAGUGGUCCUCCUGGCAUAAUUUGUCCACUUCGAAUCGGACAGCUUCCCACUCCAAGAAGCUUUUCCGGAAGCUGUCUGCUUCAAAGUGGUCCUCCUGGCAUAAUUUGUCCACUUCGAAUCGGACAGCUUCCCACUCCAAGAAGCUUUUCCGGAAGCUGUCUGCUGUGAUGUUUCCACUCUGUUUCAAAGAAGAGUUCAGUAAAAGAGAACAAAAGAGAACAGUAAAACGGAUCAAAUUAAACAAUAUACUACACUGAAGUAAAAUGUUCUAAAUGGAUACAUAUGGGAUGUUUGUACUAACUUCGUAACCACUCCUUAGAAUACAUAUCAAAGGAAAUAAACAAUGUGUAGACUUCACUCAUACACUAUACACUGGUGUAUUUGGGGGACCUGGCCAUUAAAAAUACAGGAUAUUGUUUGACAUUCAGUUUAAAUCUUUACACAAAGAGGGCUACAACAGCUACAAUAUUGUUUAGAAGUAAGCCUGUGCAGUGUUUGGGCCAUUAAUCCAAGGGAACACUUCUGGGAUCAGGAAAUGAUAUUGGGGAGAAGAUGUCAAAGUCUGUAGCCAAUGGAGUAGAAGUUGAGAUCUUCAGAAUUACCUGUUUUUUUUUUUUGGAAAUGUCUCAGUGCAAACUGCUGAUGAGAGAACAUGAGUUUAUGGUUGUUUAUAAAGGGUCUAAAUUGAACACAACUUUUUUCCUAAACAGUGCAAAUGUUCAUGUGUACUAUCAUCAUCAUCAUGCCCUCAUAGUAUUAUUUAUGGAGUUACGCAAUUAUUACCACAAAUACUUACACGGCCAAAUCGAACAGUGCGUUGAUCCAGCAUUCUAAGAAAUGCUUGGCUAGACAUCCCUGGUGCUGCCAUCUUCAGCUCUUCAAAAGAAAAAAGGACAUCUGUUGCAUACACAGUUGAAUAGUGAGAAGUGGCAGGCCAGUAGUCAUUACGGAUCAGGUCAUCCACUCCAGGACUCCAACAUCUGUGCAUACACAGUUGAUAGUGAGAAGUGGCAGGCCAGUAGUCAUUACGGAUCAGGUCAUCCACUCCAGGACUCCAAGUGGCUUCACAUGCUUUGCAUCUAAUCUGAGGCAAUCUGAGAUCAUAUCGCCCUGCAAAAAGAAGGAAAUAUAUACACAAAGUUAAUUCUGACAGACCAAACUGUGUCAUUCUGACAGCUGAUAUGGGAACCUUUGACUAAGGAUGGAUCAGGAGGACACUUCUACAAACAUUUUGAAAGGCACUCUAUUAGAAGUCACACUUUUGUCAGGCAAAUUAACUAUCCCCAUUCAAACAAAGGUUAACUGUUUUCCAUCACAUAGUUGGGCCCAGCCAAUCUAAUCAACACACAACCUAUUGACACCUCUGGAUUUCCAGCCAUGAUAUAGAAAAUUUCUUGCACAAUGUAACAUGUUUGAAUUUAACAUGAUUCGUAUAUGUGCAUAAUUGUGACGAAAAGUGAGAGGGAGUAUAUACAUGGUGUGAUCAGCAAAUAGCUGUGGGUGAAAUUCUGCCGACACUUCUACAGAAGUGAUGCAAAGGCUUAAGGUUUUAACACAUAACCUUAACACGUACUGGUUUGUUUUUUCAGGCAGUGGAGGGGCAGAUUGAGGUACUUGCUGCUCAAGUAGAUGAACUCAAGUCAAACGUUAAGCAGGCUGUACGUGUGUGGGGUUUAGAGGAGCUGAACAAGCCCUACAACCACAUUAAAUCUAAGCUAAAUGAGGUUCAGCACUCAGCUACAGUCAGGUAAAAUAACUAUCAAUUGAUAAAAAAAGCACAAUUAAUAGAUACAAACACCCUCAUGCUGGUUUGCUGUGUUAAAACAAAAAUAUCUAAUUACAACAGAGAGCAGAGGCUGCGAGAGACUUUACAUCUACAUGAAUUUAAGCGUGAGUCUGCUGAACUGGAGGAAUGGAUUGCUCAGCAGAUACAGUAUUGACUGCCUCUUAUGGUAGUUUGGGAGUGUAUUAUAGAAAAUGCACGUGGUGAGACUUUGAUCUGUUGCUAGUUCAGGAGCCCUGAUAUGAGAGACACCAGUCUUUCGACUCUGGCUGUGACUGGGACCUGCUGUAGCAAAAAAGCUGUUGCUUUUUACACUCAAUGACACAAACUUUACCUGAUGCUAGGCACAGGUACGUAAUAAUAACCUCAGAUAUGUUCUAAUUCAGACCCAUGACUUAUGAUCAUGUUGUAUACCAUUCCAAGAUGCAAAACUAGAUCUGGAGUCUACAUUUUAUUUAACAUUAAUGUAAAAAAAAUUGUACCUGCUUGUUUCCGGGAUGAUCUGGGCCUGCCGUAAAUAAUGUUUCCAUCACUGUCCCUCUUAAUCCACCUAACGUCUUGCUUGCUUUUUGAUGGCCGGCUGGUGGAUGGAUUACUGGUGGAAGGCUGACCGGUGGAUGGUUCUGCUUCCUGGUGCAUGCUAAUGAGCUGUUGGAGGUGAGCUUGAUGUUCAGCCUGAUCGACAAGGUCACUCAUCUCAUUCAGGAGACGGUCCAUCUCAAAGAGGGAUGGAGAGAGAGUGUGUGAGAGAGAGAGAGAGAGAGAGAGAUAACAAGACAAUAAACAAUACAAAUAAGACAAUAAACAAAACAAAUGUGGCUCUUAAAAGUGCCUUUUUUUUCCCGAUGUAAUGAGGUGCUGUUUUUUUAAAAGGACAGGGAUUAAGGAACCUGCAGAGAAAGAGAAGAACAAAUAAAAAAAUAAUAGAUCACCAAACCUCAUAUUACAAUAUGAAUAACUACUAGGCUAAGAAGUUAAGUAAAUGCUGCUCUUGUUCAUUCAUGCAAUCACAAUAUCAUAUAAAAAUUAAUGAUUUUAAAAAUAUUGAUAUUUUGAACACAUCCUGGUUCUGCCUUAAUUCAAAUGGAUAAACAAACAGGAAUAACAUGAUCAGGGUUCUUGUAUACACUUUAUAUAUGUAUAUAUAUAUCCCCCAAUACCCCUCAAUAAGCAUUUACACGUCCAAAAAUAAAUUAUGAGUUUAUUUACCAAAGAAAAAAAAAACAUGUUUAUAUACUAUAUAUAUAUAUAUAUAUAUAUAUAUAUAUAUAUAUAUAUAUAUAUAUAUACUAACAUUUUUUUUUAUAUAAACUCGAAAUUUGAUUAAUUUUGGACGUGUAAAUGCUUAUUCAUUUAUCUUGCUUAUUAGACUGUUGUAAGCGACUUACCGUGGUGGAAUCGCGCUGGGCAAUGGUUUCUGCGAUGGUCGCACACAGUGACGUGUUGCACAAAAUUGCGCCAAAAUAUCAAUCAUAAUGAAAAAGUACAGUCUUAAUAUUUUAUAUCCUUGCUCAAAAUUUUAAAGGGGUCAGCAUAAAUGUCUAAGUGAAGGAAACACGGGUAUAUGUAGCCAUUACAUUUAAACACAUCACUUCCCAGAAUGCAUCCAUCUCUUUGCCAAAGGAUAUGUCCAUAUUAAGCAAUAUAAACAUUUCUGCAGUAGGCUAUUUAAUUUAUCACAACUUCAUAAUCUGUAUUGAGAUGAAAGUUCUAUAAAAGUAGACUAUUCUUUUUUUGUCGCAAAAAAAGCAAAGUUGUAGGCUCAUUAUAAGCCACUGCAAAUUGAAAUACCAUCGACAAUUAUAAAAUAUCCCACCUAAAUUAAGGCUGUAUUGAGAUGAAAGUUCUAUAAAAGUAGACUUAUUCUUUUUUUGUACGACAAAAAAAGCAAAGUUGUAGGCUCAUUAUAAGCCACUGCAAAUUGAAAUACCAUCGACAAUUAUAAAAUAUCCCACCUAAAUUAAGGCAUGUUUUAAGCCUACAGCAAAUAUGCAGUCCUGCAAUUAUGUCGUUUUAAUGUAGCCCUAAAUUAUAUUAAAAAAGAGAAAAAGUCGUGAUACCGAUUUAGACAAGGGUUUCUGCCCCACAAAAAUGUAUAGUCACCGCACCAAUGAUUGUAACAGUAUAUGCGCUGCAUGCUACUGCAAAAUACACAAUUUGCAGCAUUAAAAUUAAUCCCCUGAAACCAUACUUUCCAGCGCAGGCAAACCGCUGGAUGGAUAACCCAGUUUCGUCAAAAUUCAAAGAUGAGGGAUUUGCAUUCAAAUAUCGGACGACCCUCUACGUUGUAAAGCGACGAAUAGGGGGUACCCUCGCCGUCGGCUUAUGGACGUGAGGGGGAAAUGACCAAACAGCAGUAUGUGAUCGAAAAUUAUAAAAUAUCCCACCUAAAUUAAGGCAUGUAUUAAGCAUACAGCAAAUACACAGUCCUGCAAAUAUGCCAUUUUAAUGUAACGUUAGCCCAAAAUUAUAUAAAAAAGAGAGAAGAAAAGUCGUGAUACCGGUUUCUGCCCCAUGAAAAUGUAUAGUCAAAAGUCGUGAUACCGGUUUCUGCCCCACGAAAAUGUAUAGUCACCACACCAAUGAAUGAUUGUAACAGUAUAUGCGCCGCACGCUACUACAAAAUACACAUUUGCAGCAUAAAAUCAAUCCCCGAAACCAUACUUUACAGCGCAGGCAAACCGCUGGAUGGAUAACCCCAUUUCGUCAAAAUUCAAAGAUGAGGGAUUUGCACUCAAAUCUAUCAGACGACCCUCUACGUUGUCAAGCGACGAAUAGGGGGUACCCUCAACGUCGGCUUAUGGACGUGAGGGGGAAAUGACCAAACGGCAGUAUGUGACGAAUAGGGGUGAGACUGUGUUGGACCGGGGGCCUACAGCAAACCUCCUAGAGCUCCAUUAGUCUGGCCACCAGCCCUCUGGAAAAUUCUGUAUCUCUGCAUCUCCCAUUUCCCUCCUCCUCGGGGGUUUUCACUUCUUAUCUCAAUGAAAUACAUUAAAAACAAGAUUAAUGUGGGAGACCUUUUAGAAGACUCAAGAACUUGCAGGAGGGCGAGUCCUGGGAACCCUACCCCAUGAGCAGCAGAUGCUGAAAACAUAAAAGACUGACCAUAAAUUUCUUGGUUUUCGUCUAUGUGAGAUCACAAGGCUGUAACUUGUAACCUUUAAUAGGCCCCUGCGCUUUAUGAAUUAUUCAGAAUUGAGUGCAUCCCCUUUAUGAAAGAAUUAACCAUGUCUAAUACUGAAUGCACACAGCUAUAAUGCAAUAAACAAGACAGGACAAUCCCCCCAUAAUAGAUAAAUAGUCAUUUGCAAGGCUUUCAUGCAAAGCAUACUGGUGUUGCAAAAAG